CCAGACUCCUACGGGAGGCAGCAGUGGGGGAUAUUGCACAAUGGGGGGAACCCUGAUGCAGCGACGCCGCGUGGGUGAGGAAGUACCCCGGUAUGUAAAGCCCUUUCGGCAGGGAAGAAAAUGACGGUACCUGGCGAAGAAGCCCCGGCUAACUACGUGCCAGCAGCCGCGGUAAUACGUAGGGGGCAAGCGUUAUCCGGAUUUACUGGGUGUAAAGGGAGCGUAGACGGAAUUGCAAGUCUGAUGUGAAAAUCCGGGGCCCAACCCCGGAACUGCAUUGGAAACUGUAUUUCUAGAGUGUCGGAGAGGCAAGUGGAAUUCCAGGUGUAGGAGUGAAAUCCGUAGAUAUCUGGAGGAACAUCAGUGGCGAAGGCGACUAUCUGGCACAUAACUGACGCUGGGGAGCGAAAGCGUGGGGAGCAAACAGGAUUAGAUACCCGCGUAC
rnacentral:rRNA from 1 species